GACGUAGGGCGCGAGCGUUGUCCGGAUUUAUUGGGCGUAAAGAGCUCGUAGGCGGUUCGGCAAGUCGAAUGUGAAAUCUCCACGCUCAACGUGGAGGGGUCAUUCGAUACUGCCGUGACUUGAGUACGGUAGGGGAGUGUGGAAUUCCCGGUGUAGCGGUGAAAUGCGCAGAGAUCGGGAGGAACACCCGUAGCGAAGGCGGCACUCUGGGCCGAUACUGACGCUGAGGCGCGAAAGCUAGGGGAGCAAACAGG
rnacentral:rRNA from 1 species